GAUGAACGCUGGCGGCGUGCCUAAUACAUGCAAGUCGAGCGAACAGACGAGGAGCUUGCUCCUCUGACGUUAGCGGCGGACGGGUGAGUAACACGUGGAUAACCUACCUAUAAGACUGGGAUAACUUCGGGAAACCGGAGCUAAUACCGGAUAAUAUAUUGAACCGCAUGGUUCAAUAGUGAAAGACGGUUUUGCUGUCACUUAUAGAUGGAUCCGCGCCGCAUUAGCUAGUUGGUAAGGUAACGGCUUACCAAGGCAACGAUGCGUAGCCGACCUGAGAGGGUGAUCGGCCACACUGGAACUGAGACACGGUCCAGACUCCGACGGGAGGCAGCAGUAGGGAAUCGGCCGCAAGGGGCGAAAGCCUGACGGAGCAACGCCGCGUGAGUGAUGAAGGUCUGCGGAUAGUAAAACGCUGUUAGUAGGGAAGAACAAAUGGGUAAGUAACUAUGCACGUCUUGACGGUACCUAAUCAGAAAGCCACGGCUAACUACG
rnacentral:rRNA from 1 species